rnacentral:rRNA from 1 species
AAGUUCCGACCUGCACGAAUGGCGUAACGACUUGGGCGCUGUCUCAACGAGGAGCUCGGCGAAAUUGUAUUACUCGUAAAGAUGCGAGUUACCCGCAACAGGACGGAAAGACCCCGUGAACCUUUACUGUAGCUAGAUAUUGAAUUUUGGUGCACUUUGUGCAGGAUAGGUGGGAGGCUUUGAAGCCCCAACGUUAGUUGGGGUGGAGCCAUCCUUGAGAUACCACCCUGGGUGUAUUGAAGUUCUAACUUCGUGCAGUUACCCUGGCGAAGAACAGUGUCUGGUGGGCAGUUUGACUGGGGCGGUCGCCUCCCAAAAGGUAACGGAGGCGCCCAAAGGUUCCCUCAGCACGGAUGGCAAUCGUGCGUAGAGUGUAAGGGCAUAAGGGAGCUUAACUGCAAGACAUACAGGUCGAGCAGAGACGAAAGUCGGGCCUAGUGAUCCGGCGGCUCAGUGUGGAAUGGCCGUCGCUCAACGGAUAAAAGGUACUCCGGGGAUAACAGGCUAAUCUUGCCCAAGAGUCCAUAUCGACGGCAAGGUUUGGCACCUCGAUGUCGGCUCAUCGCAUCCUGGGGCUGAAGCAGGUCCCAAGGGUUUGGCUGUUCGCCAAUUAAAGCGGUACGCGAGCUGGGUUUAGAACGUCGUGAGACAGUUCGGUC